CUCGCGCCGCCGCCUCGGGGAGGGCACGCUCCUCCUGGGCCCUCAACCUGCCCCCCACUCCCAACCUGGCGGCAGGGCUCCUCUCUUAUCUCCUUCCUCGUCCUACAGGGUCCCCCUCGGUCUUUCAAUUCCUCUCAGGGCCUCUUUCCCUCUCCCCCACCCACCUUCCUUAAAAGGAGGCGAUCAUAGACUAUUCCCCUUUUUGCUAGGAUGACCCCCACCCCAAGCAAACCUCGACCACCUUUGGCUUUAAGAAAUAUUCCUUUUGCCCCUUACAGCACCCUGGCCGCUUAUCCCAGACACUAGCUGACCUCAGUGGAUUGGACCUAUCGCUCCUCUCCUUCCUCCUCCCCCUUCUCCUCCUUCUCCCCAUCUUCCCUCCCCUUUCUCCUUACUCUCCCCCCUCCCGCUCCUCCUCCUCCUCUUCCUCCUUGCCUGUCCCAGGCCGAGUGGUGCUGCCACUGGUGCCGCCGCCCGCCGCUGGGAGCCUUCUUAGCUGUCUUCUUCCGGUGCCCGCACUGACACCAUCUGUCAACUUCAUUUAGACAUUGCAGCACUCAGCACGCCAGGGUGCCAGACGCCCAAAGUUGGAGUGCUCUCAGAAAAGAUCUGAGCCUGAAGAACUUUCCAUCUGUAAAUCAGUUACAAAACACAAUGAAGUGGAAUUAUAGUGUAUUUUAUGGACAUAGGGUUUUAACCAAAAGGAAAAGAAUGCGGAUGCAUAUAGCAGGAAAUUGUUUCAAGGCCAAGAUUUGAUUGAUGUCUGAACUUUGGAUGUGCCUACAAAGUGAAGAUCAGAGUUGGGCAGUGUAGGUAACACCCC